rnacentral:rRNA from 1 species
AUUGAACGCUGGCGGCAUGCUUUACACAUGCAAGUCGAACGGUAACAGGUUAAGCUGACGAGUGGCGAACGGGUGAGUAAUGCAUCGGAACGUGCCCGGUCGUGGGGGAUAACGCAGCGAAAGCUGCGCUAAUACCGCAUACGAUCUGAGGAUGAAAGCGGGGGACCGUAAGGCCUCGCGCGAUCGGAGCGGCCGAUGUCAGAUUAGGUAGUGGGGGGAGUAAAGGCUAACCAAGCCGACGAUCUGUAGCUGGUCUGAGAGGACGACCAGCCACACUGGGACUGAGACACGGCCCAGACUCCUACGGGAGGCAGCAGUGGGGAAUUUUGGACAAUGGGCGCAAGCCUGAUCCAGCAAUGCCGCGUGCAGGAAGAAGGCCUUCGGGUUGUAAACUGCUUUUGUACGGAGCGAAAAGACUCUCUCUAAUACAGGGGGCUCAUGACGGUACCGUAAGAAUAAGCACCGGCUAACUACGUGCCAGCCGCCGCGGUAA